UGGGGAAUAUUGGACAAUGGGGGGAACCCUGAUCCAGCCAUGCCGCGUGUGUGAAGAAGGCCUUAUGGUUGUAAAGCACUUUAAGCGAGGAGGAGGGUACUGGUAUUAAUACUACCAGCUACUGGACGUUACUCGCAGAAUAAGCACCGGCUAACUCUGUGCCAGCAGCCGCGGUAAUACAGAGGGUGCGAGCGUUAAUCGGAUUUACUGGGCGUAAAGCGUGCGUAGGCGGCUAAUUGAGUCGGAUGUGAAAUCCCCGAGCUUAACUUGGGAAUUGCAUUCGAUACUGGUUAGCUAGAGUGUGGGAGAGGAUGGUAGAAUUCCAGGUGUAGCGGUGAAAUGCGUAGAGAUCUGGAGGAAUCCCGAUGGCGAAGGCAGCCAUCUGGCCUAACACUGACACUGAGGUGCGAAAGCGUGGGGAGCAAACAGG
rnacentral:rRNA from 1 species